AUUGAACGCUGGCGGCAGGCUUAACACAUGCAAGUCGAGCGGGGUGAUGGUGCUUGCACUAUCACUUAGCGGCGGACGGGUGAGUAAUGCUUAGGAAUCUGCCUAUUAGUGGGGGACAACAUCUCGAAAGGGAUGCUAAUACCGCAUACGUCCUACGGGAGAAAGCAGGGGAUCACUUGUGACCUUGCGCUAAUAGAUGAGCCUAAGUCGGAUUAGCUAGUUGGGGGGGUAAAGGCCUACCAAGGCGACGAUCUGUAGCGGGUCUGAGAGGAUGAUCCGCCACACUGGGACUGAGACACGGACCAGACUCCUGCGGGAGGCAGCAGUGGGGAAUAUUGGACAAUGGGGGGAACCCUGAUCCAGCCAUGCCGCGUGUGUGAAGAAGGCCUUAUGGUUGUAAAGCACUUUAAGCGAGGAGGAGGCUCUUUUGGUUAAUACCCAAGAUGAGUGGACGUUACUCGCAGAAUAAGCACCGGCUAACUCUGUGCCAGCCGCCGCGGUAA
rnacentral:rRNA from 1 species